rnacentral:rRNA from 1 species
UGGGGAAUUUUGCACAAUGGGGGAAACCCUGAUGCAGCGACGCCGCGUGAUUUAGAAGGCCUUCGGGUUGUAAAAAUCUUUUGUAUGGGAAGAAAAUGACAGUACCAUACGUAUAAGGACCGGCUAAUUACGUGCCAGCAGCCGCGGUAAUACGUAAGGUCCGAGCGUUGUCCGGAAUCAUUGGGCGUAAAGGGUACGUAGGCGGAUAAGCAAGUUAGAAGUGAAAUCCUAUAGCUCAACUAUAGUAAGCUUUUAAAACUGCUCAUCUUGAGGUAUGGAAGGGAAAGUGGAAUUCCUAGUGUAGCGGUGAAAUGCGCAGAUAUUAGGAGGAAUACCGGUGGCGAAGGCGACUUUCUGGCCAUAUACUGACGCUGAGGUACGAAAGCGUGGGUAGCAAACAGG